rnacentral:lncRNA from 1 species
AGCCUGUCCAGGGAUUCAGGCUGGAACAGCUGGCGAGGCCUAUGAGCAGGUUUACUGCUGGAGUCCUUGGGUGCCAUAAUCUUUCACCUGGGUUCCUUAGCUCUUGUGAAGGUAUCUUCAUGCAUGGAUGGUAGUUCAAACUGAUGUUUCUUUGAAAGACUCUGGCCUUGUCAAAAGAAGGACGUAAGAAGGCACGAUGUAUUAUACUUGGGAAUGAUAGAAGAGACUGACCUGGUAUUUCCACCCGGAAGAGGGAAAGGAUUUUAACUACAAAUACAGGAAUCCAGCAGAUGGCAUCAGAGAACACUAUAAAAAAGAAACGAUUUGCAACAGCCACCUCUCUUCCAAAACAAUUCCUUACUUCUGUGGUCUGCAAGGCGGUUUUUUGAAUGGAACAGAACAUAGUAAUAUAGGAAAACACAAUGAUGAGAAAAGCCAGCAAGUUCACACCUGUUGGGAAAAGCACACUUUUAACAUCUCAGGCGUAAAAGUCAACAGUAAAAUUACUGUGGUACAGGUUGAGUAUCCCUUACCCAAAAUGUUUGAAACCAGAAAUGUUUUGGAUUUCGGAUUUCGGAAUAUUUACACAUUCAUAAUGAUAUAUCUUGGAAAUGGUUCCCAAGUCUAAACACAAAAUUUAUUUAUGUUUCAUAUACACCUUAUACACAUAGUCUGAAAGUAAUUUUGUACAAUAUUUUAAAUAAUUUUGGGCAUGAAACAAAGUUUGCAUACAUUGAACCAUCAGACAGCAAAAGCUUCAGGUGUGGAAUUUUCCACUUGUGGCAUCAUGUUGAUGCUCAAAAAGUUCCAUAUUUUAGAGCAUUUCAAAUUU